UAGAAACCCAACAUGAGGUCAGUACAUUAGACACAACAUGAGGUCAGGACAUUAGAAACCCAACAUGAGGCCAGCACAUUAGACACAACAUGAGGUCAGGACAUUAGAAACCCAACAUGAGGCCAGCACAUUAGACACAACAUGAGGUCAGGACAUUAGAAACCCAACAUGAGGCCAGCACAUUAGACACAACAUGAGGUCAGGACAUUAGAAACCCAACAUGAGGCCAGCACAUUAGACACAACAUGAGGUCAGGACAUUAGACACAACAUGAGGUCAGGACAUUAGAAACCCAACAUGAGGCCAGCACAUUAGACACAACAUGAGGUCAGGACAUUAGAAACCCAACAUGAGGCCAGCACAUUAGACACAACAUGAGGUCAGGACAUUAGAAACCCAACAUGAGGCCAGCACAUUAGACACAACAUGAGGUCAGGACAUUAGAAACCCAACAUGAGGCCAGCACAUUAGACACAACAUGAGGUCAGUACAUUAGACACAACAUGAGGUCAGUACAUUAGACACAACAUGAGGUCAGGACAUUAGAAACCCAACAUGAGGUCAGUACAUUAG